rnacentral:rRNA from 1 species
AACGAACGCUGGCGGCAGGCCUAACACAUGCAAGUCGAGCGAGAUCUUCGGGUCUAGCGGCGGACGGGUGAGUAACGCGUGGGAAUAUGCCUCUUGGUACGGAAUAGCCUCGGGAAACUGGGAGUAAUACCGUAUGUGCCCUUUGGGGGAAAGAUUUGUCGCCAAGAGAUUAGCCCGCGUUGGAUUAGGUAGUUGGUGGGGUAAUGGCCUACCAAGCCGACGAUCCAUAGCUGGUUUGAGAGGAUGAUCAGCCACACUGGGACUGAGACACGGCCCAGACUCCUACGGGAGGCAGCAGUGGGGAAUCUUAGACAAUGGGGGCAACCCUGAUCUAGCCAUGCCGCGUGAGUGAUGAAGGCCUUAGGGUUGUAAAGCUCUUUCAGCUGGGAAGAUAAUGACGGUACCAGCAGAAGAAGCCCCGGCUAACUCCGUG